rnacentral:tRNA from 2 species
UUAGCUCAGUGGAUUAGAGCGUCUGCCUCCGGAGCAGAAGGUCACAGGUUCGAAUCCUGCAU